CUUGCCGGCAAUAUCAACCAUCAGAAAAGAUCACAAGUGGACAAACUAGAACAAAACCAGGCAAAUUAAUACGUUUCCCGGGUGCGCAUGCGUAGUGAACAGAGAAGACUUGUUUCUGUGAGAGAGGGGGCGCCAUGUUCCAGUGGGAGGAGACACCUGACAGCUAUUCUACCAGUGUGCUCCUCUUGUUCACGGCCUCCAACACCGGUAGAGACAGGAAAGAAUGGGAGCCACCACCAGCGACCUGAGAGGUCACUGUAUUGUAGACCCAGCCAAUCCUUGUCAUCUACACCUAACUCGGACACCACCUGCAAUAUGGAUUCUUGAUGUAUUCUCCUUGGUUUUGUGGCAAGACUUGCGGCGCGUGACGAUUUCAAGGGGUAACUAAAACUUUGCAGUUCACGCACAACCCUCCAAAUGGCCUGUAUGUGUCGUUCGUCUAUCUGCAAGAUGUGCCUGAUAUGAAACAACACAUGAAAACAAAACUCUAGGAGCAAGACUUUUGGUCGGCCCCAGCCUGUAAUGGUGCAGGCAAGUUUACAGUGGUGCUGUUUUGCUUGGCUCAUGCUGCUCCCCAGAACUCAUUUUAAUCCUCAUUUAGUGUCUGGGUUGAUAGGUGGUCUUUAGGACAGCAUGUGGAUAGUCUCUGGCCAUUUGGUGAAGACUGAAAAUUGUCAGCUUGUAGCAGCGGGCGGGACUCGAACCCCGGGCCUCCAUGACGCCGUGCCCUCAUGCUGAUCAGCUGUUGCCUCCCCUAUUUUUUUUUUUUUUUUACCUAAUUUAUACUAAAGUUAGUCACUUAUUUUUUUAAUUUACAAAAAUUCUAGGCAGGGCCUGCAAGUAACCUGGUGUUACUUUCGAUACAACUUAGUCUUAAGAGUCACGGAAGCUUGUCACAUUUUAUUUUCCCACAAACUCACUCACUCUGACUUACCAGUAAGGAUCAACAGCUUCUGAACAUCUGCUCCAGAGCAUUAAAGAAAAAGGAAUGUCAUAAUAAAUGUAGUAUAGCAGCAGGGCACUUUUUUUUAUUUUUUCAAAAAUGAUAUACAUCUAGUUAUAUACACAGUAGUAUACACUUACUUUGAUAAUACUUUCACAGCAUAUUCUAAAACUUAAUAUUUAUUUUACAUUGUAUCAGGUACAGAAACGACAUUGUGACAGAAUAAAAAGAAACUAGUUCUAUUUGUAAUGAAAGAAUUGAUAAUUGAUAUACAUAAAAAAAAAAAAAGUUUUCAUAAAAUUUAAACAUCUUUUGCCACCUGCUAGUUGAAAAGGUCAUUUACAAGGAUAUAAAAUAUACAGUAGAACACUGAUUUAAUCAGUAUGAAUUUAUUUAAAAUUAUUUUAGUAAGAAAGACUGAUACAUUUUCACCUUUUUUUUUUUCUAUUUUCAAAUCAAAUUUGCCAUGUAAUAAUGAGUCCCUCCAUCCACAAAUGUUGUCAGUCAUAAAAACAGAAAUAGCCAGAAGACAGCUCCUGACUCCUGAUCAGCUGAAGUUGAGAGCACUGCAGCCUCUGAUUGGCUCAAUCAAGCACUCUCUGACCGACUUGUUCCUGGCCCAUGAUUGGCUAGGACACGAGGUAUGCACACAAAUUUUGAAGUUAAAAAUAUAUAUGUAAUUGACUUAUAUUUAGCUGACCAUUUUGAUGGAUAUUAUCACCAGAAUUUCAAUUUUUGCAUAACUUCUAGGGCAGAGGGGUGAUUUAGCUAUUACUCAUGUCAAUUUGCAGAGAGCAUUUGACAUUGCCAUAGCAAUGUAAGAUAAUACUUUAGACAGUCAUAUAACAUCAUUUGUAUAUAUUUAGGCAUAAUGUAGCUAUUUUUAUCAUAUUUUAGGUAAAAAUCCUAACUACAUGAUUAUUCUGUAUGUAAGUGUGAGCAGUAUAGCAAAGGACCUGCAAUAUUAUCGUCAACUCAAAAUUUGAAAAACUAUAGUAUCACGGCUCCUUUGCUAUACUGCUCACAUUUACUUGCAGAAUAAUCAUUUAGGUGAUGAGGACUUAUCUUAUAACAUGAUAAAAUUAGCUUCAUUAUGCCUAAAUAUACAAAUCAUGUUUAAUGCACAUCUUUAAUAUCAUCUUACUGCUGUGGCAAUCAAUGUCAAAUCCUCUGCAUAUUGGUGUUGAAUAAUAGCAGUCACCCCUCUGCCCCGGAAAGGUAAGAGAAGAUUUAUAUUUUGGUGGUAACAGGAACAAGAACAAGACUAGCAAGUGGCAGCAGGGAGGUUACAGUAAAACCUAAGGGUGGAAAGAAAAGGUGUAAUGUGAAUAGUGGAUGACUGUAGACAUAUGUGGUAGUUUUAAAGAGGGAGCUUGGAAGCAUUGACUAUAACAAACCUAAUUGGAGGAAUCAGGGAUAGGGAAAGUAGUGAAGGGAGUGGACCAGAAGUAUAUGAGUAGAGGAAGGGAAGGGCUUGCUGUAUUAGUGUGGAAAGGUCUAGGUACAAACGGAAAAUGUAAUACACCUGUACCCAGGGUUGGAAAAAAAAAAAAAAAAAAAAUAAUAA